rnacentral:rRNA from 1 species
AGUGAACGCUGGCGGCAUGCCUUACACAUGCAAGUCGAACGGCAGCACGGGUGCUUGCACCUGGUGGCGAGUGGCGAACGGGUGAGUAAUACAUCGGAACAUGUCCUUUAGUGGGGGAUAGCCCGGCGAAAGCCGGAUUAAUACCGCAUACGAUCUACGGAUGAAAGCGGGGGCCCUUCGGGCCUCGCGCUAUCGGGUUGGCCGAUGGCUGAUUAGCUAGUUGGUGGGGUAAAGGCCUACCAAGGCGACGAUCAGUAGCUGGUCUGAGAGGACGACCAGCCACACUGGGACUGAGACACGGCCCAGACUCCUACGGGAGGCAGCAGUGGGGAAUUUUGGACAAUGGGCGAAAGCCUGAUCCAGCAAUGCCGCGUGUGUGAAGAAGGCCUUCGGGUUGUAAAGCACUUUUGUCCGGAAAGAAAUCCUUGGCCCUAAUACGGUCGGGGGAUGACGGUACCGGAAGAAUAAGCACCGGCUAACUACGUG